rnacentral:rRNA from 1 species
AGAGUUUGAUCAUGGCUCAGGACGAACGCUGGCGGCGUGCUUAAUACAUGCAAGUCGAGCGAGGUUACUGUUUCGGAUCCCUUCGGGGUGAAGAAGCUUUAACCUAGCGGCGGACGGGUGAGUAACGCGUGGGUAACCUACCCCAAAGUCCGGGAUAACAGCGGGAAACCGCUGCUAAUACCGGAUGCCUUUACCUUGGGGCAUCUUGAGGUAAAGAAAGGCAACGCUUUGGGAUGGGCCCGCGUCCCAUUAGCUAGUUGGUGAGGUAACGGCUCACCAAGGCGACGAUGGGUAGCCGGCCUGAGAGGGUGGACGGCCACACUGGGACUGAGACACGGCCCAGACUCCUACGGGAGGCAGCAGUAGGGAAUAUUGCGCAAUGGACGGAAGUCUGACGCAGCGACGCCGCGUGAGCGAUGAAGGUCUUCGGAUCGUAAAGCUCUGUCCUUGGGGAAGAAGGCGAAAGCUUGACGGUACCCAAGAAGAAAGCCCCGGCUAACUACGUGCCAGCAGCCGCGGUAAUACGUAGGGGGCGAGCGUUGUCCGGAAUUACUGGGCGUAAAGGGUGCGUAGGCGGCCCUUUAAGUCGGAUGUGUAAGCCCGCGGCUUAACCGCGGAAUGGCAUUCGAAACUGGAGGGCUUGAGUGUCGGAGAGGGUAGUGGAAUUCCCAGUGUAGCGGUGAAAUGCGUAGAUAUUGGGAGGAACACCAGUGGCGAAGGCGACUACCUGGACGAUAACUGACGCUGAGGCACGAAAGCUAGGGGAGCAAACAGGAUUAGAUACCCUGGUAGUCCUAGCCGUAAACGAUGGGUACUAGGUGUGGGUGGUUUCGAUACCAUCCGUGCCGUAGUUAACGCAUUAAGUACCCCGCCUGGGGAGUACGUGCGCAAGCAUGAAACUCAAAUGAAUUGACGG